AUUGAACGCUGGCGGCAGGCCUAACACAUGCAAGUCGAACGGAGCGGGGGACGGGUGAGUAAUGCCUAGGAAUCUGCCUGGGCGUGGGGGAGAGCUUUCAGAACCGGGAGCUAAUACGGCAUGCUCUCGGCUGCACCUAGGUCGGAUUGGCUUGUUGGUGGGGUAAAGGGCUACCAAGGCGACGACCCGUAACUGGUCUGAGAGGAUGAUCAGUCAAACUGGAACUGAGACACGGUCCAGACUCCUACGGGAGGCAGCAGUGGGGAAUAUUGGACAAUGGGCGAAAGCCUGAUCCAGCCAUGCCGCGUGUGUGAAGAAGGUCUUCGGAUUGUAAAGCACUUUAAGUUGGGAGGCGUUACCAACAGAAUAAGCACCGGCUAACUUCGUGCCAGCAGCCGCGGUAAUUC
rnacentral:rRNA from 1 species